CACAGACCGAAUUUAGAAAUAGCAGUCAAAGAGUUAUAGCUAUUUCUUCUACUAAAAAGGGAGAUCUCAGUAAAAAACACAGCAAUUGGAAGGCAGACACAAACAGGUAAGAGGGAAUGAAUUGACGGCAAUCUAUCAUACAAUUUUAAGUUAUCUACUGAGAUCUCCCUUUUUAGUAGAAGAAAUAGCUAUAACUCUUUGACUGCUAUUUCUAAAUUCGGUCUGUGGUAAGGCAAUUCGUUGCUAAACCCUUUAUUGCUUAGUAUUGCUUAAAUUUUCCUCGAAUGAGGCUUUUACAUGCCGAAGACUACUUGGUGUAAUUGAUAAUUAUUCCAAAUUAAUUAAUUUCACCCUUCAUUAUUACGGAUAACUAUAUAUAUAUAUAUAUAUAUAUAUAUAUAUAUAUAUAUAAUUUUAAUCCAAACGGGAAACAAAAAAACAACAACAAUGGAACAAUUACAGUAUUAUUAUUAAUAGGCGCUCAGGAAAUGGAAGCAGGGAGGUAUGACGUUUCGAGCGGAGCUCUUCGUCGGAAACAUAAAGAAGGAAGAGAGAGGAAAGAAAGAUCCCGGAGCGGGCAACGGAGAUAGAGAAAAAAACGGCUGGUGUUAAGUGUAGCACAUGGUGAAAGGCGAUAUAUAUAGAUGCAUAAUGCUGCUGUCUCCCAUCCCAGGGUCUCUCCGGUCCACAUCUUCCACACCCUCAGAGUUGACACAAUGUUGGCACAUUGAGAGGUAGGUCUGGUGAGAUUGUUGAGAUGCUUGAAUGGAGAUGUAUAGAUUUGUACUGCAUCCAAGAAGUAAGAUAGACAGGAAGCUCUGCUAGGUUCCUCACAGGCAAAGAACAUAGGUAUAAGAUUUUCUGGGUAGGGAACACUGAUGGGGUUGGGGGCAUGGGUAUAUUCCUUGCAGAGAAAUGGGUUGAUAACGUAAUCGAGGUAGUCAGAGUCUGUGAUAGAAUACUUAAGCUUAGAACAGAAAGACCGAUUUUAUGAUACCCUCUUGCAGACUACCUCAUCAACGAAAUACAGGGAUCUUCUCUUUGUGGCUGGUGACUUCAACAGGCUUGUUGGACAACAUCCAGAGUGUACAUGGUGGCUACAGAUUUGCUCCCUGCAAUGAAGAGGGAACCAAGUUGCUGGAGUUCUGUGAUGCAAAUAAUCUUAUGAUUUGUAAUACUAACUUCAGGAAACCUACCAGUCACCUGUUCACCUACCAGUUUCGUGAGCACACUAUUCAUAUUGAAUACAUUCUUGCCAGGAAACAGGAAAGAUGGUUACUUAUAAAUGUUAAAACUUUCCCAGGUGAAGAAUACACCCCACAACAUAGGUUAGUAGUUAGCGACUUCAGGAUCAGGGCUAAAUGACUGCCCAGAAGGUGACCAGCAUGGAAGAGUCUGGAAGCUUAAGGAUCUUCUGAAUGGACAGAGAUUUAGAGACAUAUCACUUGAAGCUUUUGAUGAAAAAGAGGAGGAUAUAACAUUACAUAAUGUGGAUGAUAACUGGAGUUUCCUACAGGACAACCUCUUGAGGAUUACUGACCAGAUCUGUGGCUGGUGCAAAGUCCCCUCUUGACCUAAGGUAAUAUGGUGGUGGAACAAUGUAGUUGACAGAGUCAUUAGGGAAAAGAAAUAGGCAUGGAAGGACUAGAAGUGUGGUGGUAGCAGGGAAUGGUAUCAGAUUGCCAAAAGGGAAGCUAAGAGAUAGGUUUACUUAGUCAGAGGGGAAGCAGAUAAGAAAAAAUUGUAAUUGUUCUGCAUUGUGAGGACCAGUGACUUGAAGUAUUUCAUAUUGCAAGACAGUGUAUGAGAGAGUAUCAUGAUGUCAUAGGAGAGAAAUGUGUCCACAUGGAUGAUGACUCACUUGCACUUAAUGAUGUUGCGAAGAGAGAGACUUGGAGACGUCACUAUGAAAUGUUGCUAAAUGAAGAAAAUGAAUGGGAGAAAAAGAGUCUACCAAAUGUUGACCCAACAGAGGGACCAGCUAUUUGAAUUGACAGUACCUUAGUAGAUAAAGCAAUUAAGGGUAUGAAGACAGGGAAAGCCCCUGGCCCAUCAGGAAUCACUGCAGAAAUGCUUAAAAUAUAUGGCUGUGUAGGCUAUAGUCUACUUACUCAUAUAGUCAACCAGGUAAUUCAUGAAGGAGUCAUACUCAAGACUGGUGUAGCAGCAUCAUAAUCAACUGCUACAAAGGUAAAGGUGAUGCAUUAGAUAGGAAUAAUUACAGAGGUAUCAAAUUGUUGGACCAGGUGAUGAAAGUCAUGGAGAGGGUCAUAGCCCAACUAAUUAGGGAGAGAGUUAGUUUAGACAAGAUGCAGUUUGGGUUCUUGCCAGGGAGAAGCACUACUGAUGCUAUAUUUCUGGUAAGAGAGCUGCAGGAGAAAUUUCUAGCCAAAGAUAAAUCUCUGUAUUUGGCUUUCGUUGACAUGGAGAAAGCAUUUGAGAGGAACCCCCAAUCCCUUAUCUGGUGGUUAAUGUGGAAACUAGGGAUAGAUGAGUGGUUGGUGAGAGCUGUACAAGCCAUGUACAGAGAUGCUGUCAGUAAGGGGAGGUUUGUCAAUGAGUAUAGUGAAGAAUUUUGGGUAGAAGUAGGGAUUCACCAAGGAUCAGUCCUCAGGCCGCUCUUAUUCAUCAUAGUUCUCCAGGCAAUAAUAAAGGAAUUUAAGACAGAUUGCCCCUAGGAGCUCCUCUAUGCUGAUGACCUUGCUCUAAUAGCUGAGUACAAGAGAAGUUUCAGGUGUGGAAGCAAGGUUUAAAAUCAAAGGGCCUUAGAGUUAUUCUAUCAAAACCAAAGUCUUAGUAAGUAGGAAGGCAGACAAAUAAAAAAUCUCUUCAGGUAGAUGGCUCUGCUUGAUCUGCAGAAAAGGUGUAGGUAGAAACUCUAUAAGAUGUACCUGGUGUAAGCUAUGGACACAUAAGAGGUGCAGCAAUAUCAAAGGAAGGUUAACUGGGAAGAUAGGUUUUUUUUGUGUGUGUGUGACUGAUGUACAAGGACAAUAAACACCAUAGACAUACUGAAAACAGAUUCCAUCACAUGCCAAAGGGAAAAAGUAGAAGUAGUUGAUAGCUUCAGUUACCUAGGUGACCAAGUCAGAAGCGAGGGUGGAUGCUCUGAGAGCAUAGCUGCUAGAAUAAGAAUAGCCUGGAAAAAGUUCAGAGAGCUCCUACAUCUGCUGGUAACAAAGGGCUUCUUGCUCAGAAUGAAAGGUAGACUGUAUGGUGCAUGUGUGCAAACAACUAUGCUACACAAUAGUGAAACAUAGACUGUGAUUGCUGAAAACAUGCAUAGGCUUGAAAGAAAUGAAGUGAGUAUGCUCCGCUGGAUGUGUAAUGCCAGUGGGCAUACACGAUAGUGUAAGCUCCCUGAGAGAAAAGUUGGACAUAAGAAGCAUCAGAUGUAGUGUGCGAGAGGGAAGACUGCACUGGUAUGGUAAUAUGUUGCAUAUGGAUGAGGACAGCUGUGUGAAGAAGUGUCACACCCAAACACUGGAGGGAACCUGUGGAAGAGGUAGAUCCAAGAAGACUUGGAUGAUGUGAAGCAUGACCUUCAAAUGUUGGGCCUCACAGAAGCAAUGGCAAGUGACCAAGACCUUUGUAGAUAUGCUAUGCUUGAGAAGACCCAGCAAGCCAAGUGAAAUCAUAUCUGGUCAAUGCCAGUGUAGCAUAACUGGCCCAUUUAAAAGUACCCUUCAAUUGUUAGGUAAUAUGUUGUGCUUGAGAAGACCUGUUGAGUCAAGUGAAAUCAUUGUCGUGGCCAAUGCCAAUGCCAGUGCCGCCUGACUGGUCCCCAUGGUAGUGGCUCGUUAAAAGCACCCACUACACACUUGGAGUGGUUGACAUUAGGAAAGGCAUUCAGCUGUAGAAACCUUGCCAGAACAGAUUGGAGCCUGGUCAAACUGUCCAAUCCAUGCCAGAAUGGUAAGUGGAUGUUAAACAAUGAUGAUAUAUGUGUGUGUGUGUGUGUGUGUGUGUGUGUAUAUAUAUAUAUAUAUAUAUAUAUAUAUACAGGGGUUGAACAAAAUAAUGGAAACACCUUAAAAUUGCAAACAAAUUUAUUUUAACAUAGGGUAGGACCACCUUUGGCAGUAAUUACAGCUUGAAUUCUACAAGGUACGGACUCAUACAAAGUUUGAAUUGUUUCCAAAGGAAUUUUUGUCCAUUCUUCAGCUAAAACAGUCUCCAGUUGUUGUAGUGAUGAGGGUGGAGGAUAUUGACUACUUAGUUGUUUUUCUAAAAUGCACCAUAAAUAUUCAAUAAUAUUGUGAUGUUGGGACUGUAGUGGCUAGAUAAGAUAUUAACUUCACUAGAAUCUUCCUCAUGCCAUUCAGUAACAACUUUAGCUGUGUGUAUUGGUGCAUUAUCAUCCUGAAACAGUUCCGCUACCAUAGGAUGGAUUUGAUUAGUUAAGAUGCUUAAAUAGUCUUGACUGUUAAUUCUGCCUUGCAGGGAAGCCAUUGGGCCGGCAGAUUUCCAAGAUAUAGCCCCCCCAGAUCAUCACAGAUCCUCCUCCAUGUUUAACAGUUGGAAGAAGGCAGUCUGGGUCAAAUGCUUCUUUUGGCUGUCUCCACAUGUAUAUUCAGCUGGUUUCAGAAAUAAGGUAAAGGAUGACUCGUCCGAGAAAAUAACUUUCUUCCACUGCUAUAGGGACCAAUUCUCUAUGUUUUUACUCCACCAUAAACGUUUUGCAACAUUUGUUUUUGAAAGUAGUGGUUUUCUGAUUGCAACCCUCCCAUGAAAUCCGGCUUUGUGCAGCUCCCAGCGAACAGCUUUUGUGGAAACUGGAUUUCUGAGGUGGUCAUUAAGCUCAGCAGUAAUAUUGGGAGCUGUACUUUUGUGAUCCUUUCUAACAAUUCACAUGAGAGUCCAAUGGUCCGUAUCUGAAAGUUUUGGUUUUCUUCUGGAGUUUUGUUUCGAAGAGGAGGUUUUUCCCUCUUUCUCAAAGGCUGUCAUAACUUUUGAGACAGUACUUCUUGAUACACUAAACAUUUUGGCUGUUUUCAUUACACUAGUGCCUGCCAUAUGAGCACCAGCAAUUUGGCCUCUUUUAAAGUCUGAUAGAUCUUUAAUUUUAAUGAAUUUUAAUUACAUUUUUCUGGUGAUAUCUGAAAAGAAACAGCAAUUUUAGCAAAACAUAUUAAGCAACACUAAUAAUAAAGAAAAAAAAACACAAACAUAUAUAAGGUUUUGAUGGCUUUAUAGAUAUUUCAAAAUUAUGAUACUAGGAUGCUAUUAUUUUGUCCAACCCCUUUAUAUAUGUGUGUGUGUGUGUGUGUAUAUAUAUAUAAUAAUAAAACUCUGAAUGAGGUAUAAACUGUAGCUGCACGACAAUGUGAAGUAUAUUUGCUACUUAAAUGUGGCCAAUCACUAAGGGUGGAUGCUACUGUAGCUUGUAGCCCCAGGAGAACAUCUCCUCCAGCUGGCUAUUGACACACUUUCUGUGCCUUAUCAGUAUUUACAAAGGGAAGCCAUCCUUCCCAUUGUCAACCUGACGUGAUACACAUGGACCCGAGUUUCUGGGUAUUUACCCGUUGUCAGCGCACAACAAUCACCAGUCUUCGAUGCAAAAGGGUCCCAAUGCAAAUACAUAUAUCCUGUUUCCAGUGACUUCAACAUCAUUUAUGGUCCGUGUUUCGUGAGUCAGAUGGUUUGACAGGAUAUGAUGUAUCCAAGGACUGCAUCAUACUCCAAAGUCAGCUUUGGCAUGAUUUCUAUGGGUGGAUGCUCUUCCAAAAACUGAACACUUUACACCAUGUAUUGGGCACCGUUUUUGUGCCACCUGCACUAUUGAAGUUGCCUUGCAACUCAUGAGUCUUUUGGGGUAGGUUGAGGUGAGUUAGAUUCAUGCUAGGGAUGAGGGAAUUACUAUAAGAAAUGGGAUGCAGAGCAGCUUUUGGAGAGGGUACUAUUUAGCUGCCUACAUCUAUUCCUGGAGAGGGAGAAAGUAAAAAUGAUCAGUAGGGGUUGCAAGAGAUAGAUGAUGGUCAGGAGGUACAAGGUGAUAGAAGUGAAUGGUUUGCAAGAUUGUGUGGAAAGGAAAAUUAAAGGAUGGGGAGGCAGACUGUCAAAACAUGUAGGGUUAAAGGUGGGUAAACUAACAACUAUGAAUUGGGGAAAGUAGAGAAAUGCAGAAGGGAGUGAGGAAGAGGUAAGCAAAAAGAGUAGUAAAGAUAAUACAAUUGUCAGUGGGAGGACAAGAUAGAGAUGACAUAGUUAGGGUAUCUGUAAGAGCUGGGAAGAGGCAGGCACAAUGUAUGGGAGGGGAUGAAUUACUGUAAUGUGUGUGGAGAACACAUAACACUUCCAGAACUCAGUUUUGCUAUGGAAGACCCACCUUUUUGAUAACCUUAACCUUAUAUCGCCAGAAAUCUUGAUCCUUUGUCAUCUCUUCUGUCAGACUCUACAGUCCUGAGGUCAGUCUUUGCCACUUCAACUCAUGUCUUGGGUUUCCCUCUUCUGCAAGUUCCAGCUACAUUUAGUAAUUGGUACUUCUUGAUACAGCAUUCUUCAUCCAUAUACAUCACAUGCUGAUACCAGUACAGUCUUCUUUUUUGCACAGAGUAUCCAAUGGAGCAUGUUGCUUUAUUUGUUUCCAGUCUUCUGAAAUCCUCUGCAUUCAGUGUCCAAGUCUCACUACCAUGCAACAUUGCUGUUUUAACACAAGCACCACGUGGUCUGCCCUUUAACUAAAGAUCUUUGUUCUCAACAGUGGUAGUAAUUCCCUAAGGUUUCUUCAAUCAGUUCUUACUGUAGCUGCUGUACUUCAAAGCAGCCACCUCCCUUGCUAAUUAACAAAAGCUAUCAACUACUAUUAAUGAUCCAUCUGGGCAUUUAAGAGACUCAGUUUCUGGUGUGCUUGUAUGUACUGCUCCAGUGGAUCUAUUGCAUAGGAAGCUUGCAUUUUCGGAUAAUCUGCCAGUGAUUCCACCAUAUCUCUAGUGUGUCCAUAACUUACUUGAAGUACAGCAUAUGGAGUUUACUUUUCUACAUAUUCUUCAAUGACCUGUGUCACUUGAUAAAAAAGUUAUAACCACUUUUGCAUUACUUGUGGUACAACCCUUAUUUUUGAUGUGUCUGUGAGUGUGUGUGUAUAUCUUUGUGAUUAUUGUGGUAAUUGAUUUGUCUGUUGUCCCAGAAUGAUCUUUGCCAAAUUCAAUGCACUAGUUACAAGAGCAUUCACUUUCUGUUCAGCUGUUCCUGCUAGUCUGCAGCCUAAUAUUUUGUCAUGGUCUUGGUCCAGUUGUUGUCAUUCCUUCAUUUCAUUCAUCUUGGAACAUUUGAUUCAAUCUCUUGCUGGUUGAGAUUGGCCCUCAGGAGUGGUAUUGGUUCAGUUGCUCCUCCUGAGGUGACACAGCUGGUGAGAGACUUCCUGUCCUGUGGGGUGCUUCUAGGUGUUAUUAGCUUAUAUAUAUAUAUAUUUACAACAUGCUCCUUUCAGUUUACACCUACAAAAUUGGCUCUUAGAACUAUAGUAGAAGACACUAGCCCGAGGUGCCAUGAUUGGAGUUGAUUCCAAAAUCACGAUUCAAGGUAGGCUUCUUAAGUACACAGUGAUGCCUGUAUGUAUGUGAAGGUGUAUAUAUAUAUAUAUAUAUAUAUAUAUAUAUACACUCACACACACACACAUUGUAUAUGUUAAGGAAAUUAAAAUGAGUUAUAAAGAAAUUUCCUAAAAAACAGUUGCAUAUAUUUGAAGAAAAACAAAACGUGUAUAUUAAAUACCAUACAAGCUAAAUUCUUAAUUUAUUGAAAUUAUUUCUACUUCCAGCAAUGUAGAACAAUUGUUUAGAAGCGAAUAGGAUCAACUCCAAAUAAGAAGAGGAGAUAAUCUCAAGAGUGAGAAAUUUUUCAAAAUUGACAUGUUAUGAUAGGGAAAAGAGGUCAAGUGUGGACAUACUUUUCUGCCUCAAUAGGCAUCUUCAGUACAGCAGUUAUCUUACCUUUUGGGCCAGUGUCUUCUAAAAACUCGAGUCAACCAAAACUUUAUGGGUAGGUUUUGUUGAUGAAAACUGAAAAGAAGCAUAUUGUACAUAUGUGUCCCUAUGUACAUGUGUGUGCCUUCAUAUCUGUUUACAUUCGCACUUAUUUAUAGGGAAUUUGCUACAUUUGAGCAUUGUUUGUCUUGAUGGUGCUUCUGUUAAUAAAUUGCCCACAUGCUUCAUGCCUUGAAAGCUGUGUGGAAUUAGAGGUUCCUUAUUUUAAUGCAUGUAAAGUUAGAAAGGGCAUCAUAUUUGUAUAACCCAUGCCAUGAUGGAAAAAAAUGGCAGCAGGAAAGAACUGUGAGAGCAAAAAAUUGUUAUUCCUAUAGAAAGGAAAUGAGAAGAUGAAAGGGGGAAAAAUUGAGGUGGCAGGAAGUGCUGUAUAAUUAUAAUUAGUUGAAGAGUUACCAGGUUCGUUGCACUUUGCUCUUUGCACCUCUAACUUAAGCCAUAAAGACUACAUUUUCUCUCACUCUGUCUCUUUCUCCUGCUCUGUCUCUCUUUCCCUUCAUACACAAAUGCACAUGCAUUCUGGUGUGUUGACAUAGAAUAUAUACAAUAUAUAUUGUUACAGACAUUGCCAGUUUGUUAUUCAAAAGUUGGUGGUUUUCUUGGUUGUAUUGGUUUUGAUUUUGGUGAGUGAUGGCAUGGUCAUAUUGCUCUUUUUAAUUGUAUUGCUGUAGUUUUAGUAUCAAGUCAAUCCUCAUUGACCUACAAUCAAAUACACUAGGGUACUCAUUAUCUCAUGUCAUUGUGUUUAUUAUAGAGGGAGUUGCUGAUAUUGUUCAUACUAACAUUGCUGGAGUUGUUGGUCAUUAAGGAGUUAGUGGAUUGGUAAUGAUGGCAGUUGUGUUGGAGUUGAUGACAGAGGUUGUAGUGAAGAUUGAUUUUUACACAAAUGCUCGCAUAGAGAUAAAUAGAUAUUGCUAAUGAUUCUGUCAGAUUGGCACCUUCAUACACAAAUAUUCACAGUGAAUAGUUCCACCCACCACACUUUAUAAGUAUUUAUAAUGAUAUAUAUAUAUAUCAUCAUUUAGCAUCCAUUUUUCAUGCUGGCAUAGGUUAGGCAGUUAGACUGGAACUGGUAAGCUGGAGAGCUGUGCCAGAUUUCAGUCUGUUUUGGCAUGGUUUCUAUGGUUUGAUGUCCUUCCUAAUGCCAACCACUCCAUAGAGUGUAAUGGGUGCCUUUUAAGUGUAACUGGCAUAGAUACCUUUUAUGUGUCACUGGCACAGGUGUUUUUUGUAUUUCACCAGCACUGGUGCUUUUUAUUUGUGUCAAGCACAGGUGCCUUUUAAUGCAUCACUGGCAUUGGCCAGGACUAUGAUUUCGCUUAGCUUGAUGUUGGAAUUCCUUUUUAAGGUCGUCUGACAUUCGAUUUUCAGACAACAUCCAGUUUGUUUUGGGCUGACCAUGCCUUGGCUGUUUGAGUUUUUAUGUCCUUUUCAGUUCAGGCUAUCUCAGAACUGAACACAAUGUAUGUAGAUCAACUCACCAUAGACACUGGAUGCCUCCCUGAAGACCACCCUCAAUUAAUGCAGGACUGAGAUGGAUGAUAUGCACAGGUUAAAAAUGUCUGAGCAAGCUCAACCAGAUGAUGAUAUAUAUAUUCAUAGUCAUCUCCAUUUAGCUAAGAAAUUCACUUCUCAAUAGUGUAGAAGAGGGCUCAAUCCCACCACACAGUACCUUGGGUGUCUUCUAUAGCUCCAGUCUGACCAUUGCCUCUUAAGGGAAUUUGUUGUUGGAAACUGAAAUUAGUCUUUUGUAUACACACACAAUACCAAAACGAAAAAAAGAGAACAUGAAGAUCGGGUAAAAAAAACAGUGUAUUAGGUUCAUGUUCAGGAAAAGUAGAAAUGUUUUAUGUUUCGAACACAUGCUCUUUUACAGAAAGUAUAGAUGAGGAGAGGAAAAUGGAGAGAGAAGAAAAGAAAUGUGUCUCAAUUAGACUGUCACCACAUGCUGAAAUGACUGGAAGAGGAAGAGUUUGCUAGGGGCAUGAGUAGCAAGAAGGAACAAUUGUGAAAGUUGACUUGAAGCAUGGGUGGCAAGGGGAACAACUGUGAACCUGGUUUGUAUGUGUGAGAGCAAGCAUUCAUGUGUGUGUGUAUGAAGAUAAUGUGUAUGCAUAUACUCUGUGUGCUUAUGCAUGUGUAAAUGUGUGUAUGCAUGCAUGUGUGUGUUUAUAUCUACCUUGCUGUCUAUUUAUAUAAUAUAUGUGUGUGUGUGUGUGUCAAUGUUUGCAGUCUCUGCUGAGCUUUGGUUACAAAUGGUAACAUCAUUGUUUCUAGUUUGGCUGCUACUGGUGACAUAUGUUAACUUUAUUGUCAACAAAAUGUCUCCUAGCUUUGUGCUUUCUAAUUUCUCUGGAAUAAAAAAAAUCCAUUACUUGAAAAGUAGAUAAGAAAUGGUGAGAUGAAGAGCAUCUGGCUGUAAAAAUCCUACAUCAAAUAUCCCCUAUCUAAACAAUGCUAGCUUGGAAAAACAGAUGUUAUGGUUUACAUCUGAAAAGACUAAGAGUCAAAAAUAGGCUUGAUACAUUGAAGAGUAAGAAUGAAUAAAAUUUUAUAUAAAGACCUUACAUUUGUACUGUUGUUUCCAUACCAAGGCAGUUUCUCUCCUUUGAGAAAAUACUUGGCAUUGAAACAUUUGUAUGGCAAUAAAGUGUUGAUUGAUGCAAAAUUUUAUAUAUGUAUAUAUAAUAUGAAGAUAACCAACUUUCUCAGCUAAUAUUGGGAUCCAGCAAAAUGUGUCUGAAAUUAAACUGAAAAGGUUUACUUUCUUGUUAGAACUUCUCAAGCACACGCACAGAAUUUGCUUCCAGCGCAGCUGAAUGGUUAACACAGGAACAAUUGUAUGACAGGGUUUAGAGGGGGAAAUAGGGUUCUGGCUAAUUGCAAGAUUCAUCUCUUCCUUGGCUGGUCAAUAAGCUAUGAAUUACUAUUGGUGUGUAAAGAAUGUGGUGGGGAAGACUAAAGAAUAGAUUUAGAUUGCUAGACUUUCAGGUAAGGAGAGAAAGGGAUUAUUGUUUAGAGUGAGAAGUGUGUGUGUGUGUGUGUGAAAGAGAGAGAGAGACUUGUCAGGGUCAUUGAAUUAGGAUAGUUAUUAAGUAAAGCUGGAAAGAAAUGAGUAAGGGAGUAUAUGAAGUAAAUAAAUAAAUAUUCAUUUCCUGUCUGAUUAAAAAAGGCAAACUAAUCUUUUUCACAUAAACCUGUUUUAAAUCAUGUGUAAUGUAUUAUAUAGCUAUUUUCAAUCUAAUGGAUCAGUGCUUUCCAUUGGAUGAUGUUUAAGAUGACAAUGUUAACUAACUUUAUUACUUUAUAUGUAUAUUUAUCAUCUUGGAUGAUGAUAUAUAUAUAUUUGUAUAUCUGUGUGUGUGUGUAUAUAUAUAUAUAUAUGUAUAUAUAUAAAGAAAUGAGAUGACAAAGGAAUAAACGAUUAUCUUAUGAACUUCAUUAGCUUAUAGCUGUUUAAGUUAAGUUAAUCUUUUGGCUCAAAAAGCAAAAGCAAGGCCAUGUAGGGGGACAUGGAGUUAUGUACAGGGAGGGUGUUCAUGCAAAGAGUUCAGGCCAUUUCUAGUCAAGAGAGUCUUUGAACCGAGCGGUUGUCGGCAUCUUCACUAUCUCGUCCGGCAGCUUAUUCCACGGAUCCGCAACACGGACGGAGAAAGCUCCUCUCCUUUGAUUGAGAUGAAAUAGUCACAGAUAGAGCUUUUUGGAGUGACCCCGCAGCCAACGCUCUGGAGCAGGAGUGAAGAACAGCUCUUUCGAGAGGUUACACUUUCCUCUUAUGAUGUUGUGAGCGAGAAUGAGAUCAGCACAGCGUCAUAGAUGCAGUGGACUCCUAGUUGAGUGCCUGAGUAACACCUUAUAGCUUUAUCAGAUCUUCAAAUAUGAAGUGCCAUAUGUAUAUGAAUAUAUAAAUGUAUAUACUGUCCAACUUAUUCCAGCAUGGAAAAUGGACAUUAAUAGAUAAUGAUAUAUACAUAUAUGUAUAUAUGUGCGUGUGUGUGUGUGUGUGUGCAUACACACACUCAUAUACACAUAUAUUAUCUGUAUCCUGAUAUAAAGUGAUUUUUAAGCACACAAUCAAAUAUUUUACUAAACAUGUCUUGUUCAUUUGAUCUUGGAAUACAGUUUACACCCCUCCCCCCCACCAAAAAGUAAAAGAAAGAACAAUGAACAAUUGAAAAACAUAAUUGUAUUCACACUUACAAUUUAUUUCAUAUAUUCAUUUACACAUUUCUUAAAAUCAACUGACUCUCUUUUCCCUGCCUCAUGCAUAAUUGUCUGUGUUGAUUUUUGAAUAGCUCUCACUUGUGUUUUGUUUCAUCUUCUGUCAGUUUGUCUCCUGUUCUGUUAUUUUUAUGUUCUUUCAAUGCUAUUGUAAAUCUCUGGCUUUCUCCUUCACUCUCUGGCUGUCUGUCUCUGCUUUAUCUCUCGUUUGUACCAUUUAUCAGUUUCUACUCAUUCCCAAAGUCUUCAUAUCUGUAAUUUUGUCCUUUUCCAUCUACCCCCCUCUCCACCUUUGUUUUGGUAUCUAUAUUCACUCUUCUCUGCAUGUCUCUUGUCUCUUCCAUACCCUAUUAUCUUCUGUUAAAAUUCCAUUCAAUUUACAAAAUGUCAUAUGGAUAUAAAUCACCCCAGGUAUUUCACUGGUUCUUUAUAUUAUUGAACUAAAGGUGGAUUGAAAAGCAAUUGACUUCAGCUGGAUUUGAACUCAGAACUUAAAGGACUCCAACUAAAGACUGCAAAGCAUUUUAUAACUCUCCAUCUCCUUUAACUCUCUUUUCUUCAUACCUGUUGAUUUCAUGUUCUGAUUUUUUUUUUGUCAAUCUUAUUUAUCUACUCUCUUUUCCAUUUAUUCCCUCUCUUCUCACCUUCAUCUUCCUUCCUUCUCUUUCUCUUAUUGCGUGUCAAACUUUCUCUGGCUUUCAUGUUGUCAACUUUUACCCUCUCACACCUGUCUCAUUUUCUGUCAAUUUCCCACUUCUCUCUCUCUGUCAACAUUUCUCAUGUUCUCAAUCUGUCAGGUUUUUCCCACCUCAUUUCUAUCAGUCAUCUCUUUCUAACUUUCAUCUUAACCCCAACAUUCAUAGCCCUUCCUCCCUCAGCAUCCUGUCACAUGUCAGUUUCUCACCUCUUACGUAAUCUUGUGUAUUUUUCUCUCAAUCUCUCAUUACUUCUCCAGUUCUGUUCUCUAUCAGCCUUUUAAAAUGUCUCUAGUUCUGCUAAACAAUGUCAAUUUCUCACUGUCUCUAGUCUUAUCAAUUAGUAUCUGCUUCCCACCACAUCUUUAGUUAUGUUGCUUUUUUGUCAACUCUCCAACCUCUCUAGUCCUGCCUCUUUCUCCCCCUGUCAACCUCCCACCAUGUCACAAGUCCUGUCCUCCUCUCUCUGCCUUCUCACUGUAUCACUUGUCCUGCCUCUCAAAAUUUUCACAUCUGAAACACUACUUGAGAUAAACUGUCAUAUGUUUUAUUAUAUUUCUCAACAAUGACUGAUCUCACCUGCCAAUUAAUUAAUGCACACACAUAUUCACUAAUUCUUUAUGUCCAUAUCUCUCCUAUCUCCUCAAACAUUUUCUUUCUCACAUUCACUUCCAGCACAAAUUCAUCAAUUCUUUGUCUAAACUGCAAUUUUCUCCAUGGCCAUUUAUUUUUAUCUUUUUCUCCACCUCCAUUUCCAAACACCCCAUAUCUCUCUCCUUUAAUAUUUCUUUUCCCCCAUCAUCAUAUCUCUCUUUUCAUCUUUCUUUUUUUCUAUAGUAUUUCUUUCUUACUCUUGUCUUAAACUCCUCUGACCCCUCUUUUUUCAAUCACAUUUCUUUCUCUCCUGUACCUCUUUCCCCUAUCUCAUUGCUUUCUCUUCUAUGUCUCUCUCUCUUUUCUUUCCCAUCUUCAUCAAUCCAUCUCUCUCUUGAAUACCCGCUCCUCAUCCUUUCCCUUUCUUUGUCAUGUAUAAGCCCUGUCUCAUACUGGUCCACCAUUUUUCCCUUGAAUUCCUUCUUUUCAAACUAGUUUUUCUUUGGCAUUACUUCAUUAUAUUUCUUCCAGCCACAAACUCUAUGCUCACUCAUAGCCAAUGCAUAUGCAUACAGCUGCACACAAUAUGCACAGACAUAUGCCCACACAAAUACAUAUGCAUCCAUAUACAGAUUGUCUUCACUUGUGUGCAAACCUGCUAUGUACACAUUCACACCAUGUGCGUGAUUACACACAUUCAUGUGUACAUACUCUUUGUACCCAUACAUCACAUGUUGACUCUUUAUACAUAGACACACACAUUCCCUCAUACACAAUACAUACAUACUUUUAACUAAAAGUGCAACAUUGACAGUGUAUUAUUCCAGAUUUAAAGAAUAAUAUAGAUUUAAAAAAUGAUGAAAAUUAACUCCUUUCGUCAUCAUAUUUCAGCUGAAACACACUAUCUUUGUUCUAAUUAUAUUUUUUGAAAAUAAUGAAGAAUUUAAUAAAACAGCUGUCAUACUUAAGCUGGUAUUAUAAGGUGGCCAGCAUGGCAGUUGUUACUGUGCCUGACAAAAUACUUAGCAGCAUUUCUUCUGGCUUUACAUUUUGAGUUCAAAUACUGCCGCGGUUGACUUUGCCUUUUAUCCUUCUGGUGUCAGUAAAAUAAAGUAUCUGUCAAGUGCUGCAAUUGAUGUAAUCGAGACUUCCUCCUUCCCUCAAAAAAAUUGUUGACUUGUAAAAAAAUUGGAACGGAUUAUUAAACUAAUGUUUGAAAUAUAAAUUAGAAUGAGAGUAGAAAGUUUGCAUCGAAGAAUUAGAGUUGACAUCAGGCAGGUUGGUAUAAAAAGAGUUUAAAAAAAAUUAAUCAUACUACGCUGUCAACAAAUAAUAGUGAAGGAUAUAUUUCCACUGACAAAGGUUAAGAAAGCAUAAACAUUUGGCGUUGUUUCCUUUGGUUAUCUAGUAAGAGAGUUAUGGUAGCUCACCACCUAAUAUUGUUUUCUAAUUACAGUUUUUAACCACAUUAGUUAUUUCUAGUUUUGAAAUCAUUGAACACAGCCAAAGAGAGAGCAAGUGUGUGUGUGAGAGGGAGUGAGAGAGAGAGAGAGAGAAAGAAAAAGAAAAUAAGAGAGAGAAUUGACUUAAAUACUGGUCUGUUAGUUUAUCAACCCUGUAAGAAUGAAAGGCAAUGUUGCCUUCAGUAGGAUUUGAACUCUGUAAGGUAUUCUCUCUAGUACUCUGAUAACUCAGCCAAUUUGCUGUUGUGAAUGAACUUAGUGCAUUUAGGAUCAUCAUCAUCAACAGCCUCAACAUUUAAUAUCUGUUUUCCAUGCUGGCAUGGUUUGGAUGACUUGACAGGAACUGGCAAAGCAAGGGGCUGCACUAGGUUCCAUAGUCUGUUUUGGCUGGAUGCCUUUCCUAAUGCCAACCACUUUACAGAGUGUACUGGGUGCUUUUACAUGACACCAUCUAUCUAAUGUUUUUUUUUUGUCAUUAUUUAAGACAAGGUGUUAUUUGGUUGCUAUUUCCUAGUAGAUUGAGUGUUCACAUGGGCCCAUCUUGGCUGGUUUGGAUGCUAGUUCAUUUUAGAAAGUUUUUAGGAUUUGAUUCUGUGAGUUGAUUAAUAUAAGCUCUAAAGAUUGUAAUUCUGACUCUGAAUAUUUUGAGUUCAACUCUGCUAGUCAUCUUCUACCCAUCAUUCUCAGAUGUGUGAAAAUAUAUCCUGUGGCAUGUGUAUGUGUGUAACAGUUUAGUCUGAACGUGUCUAGGUAUAACUAUCUGUACAUGUUUUGUAUGUCAUCACAUGUGUAUGUGCACAUAUACACAUAUAUAGACACUGAUUCAAAAGCCUCUUUAGUAUAUGAAUGAUAUAACAAAUUUAUAUUUUGUUAUAAUUUUGUUCUUACAUAUUUUUCAAACUAUGUUGGGUAUUUUGUUGUGAAUAUCUAUUGAUAUUAAUGUUGCUUUAUACAAGGGGGGGGGGGUGCUCAAAAGUUCCUGGCUUAGGGUAAAAGAAAAUACAGGAGAAUCAGUUAAUUAUGAUUUUAUUCAACAUAUUUCCCUCUCAGGUUCACACACUUAUUGUAGCGGUCAUUCAGUUUUUAUAAGCACUGUAAAAGAACUUAGAAGGUUGGGCCUCCAAUUAGGCCUUUGGCGAUACCCUUUAAGUCAGAAACUUUUCAGCACCCCCUUGUAUAUUUCAUAUGUGUAGGUGCAGCUGUGACUGUGUAGUAAGAAAUUUGCUUCUCAAUCACAGGGUUUUGGGUUCAGUCCCACUGCAUGUGUCUUCUUGUAUAUCCUUGUGAUGACUUAAAGCCUUGGUAGAUGGAAACUAUAAGAAGCUCAUUGUAUAUAUAUAUUUAUAUAUGUGUGUGUGUUACUGUCUCCUUGCCUUGACAUCACAUGAUAGUUGUGAAUGAUACUAUCAUGCCAGUGGUAUCUUUUGUUUCCAGUCUUCUGAGACAUAUCAGAGUUCUUAGUUCAGAUAUUGCUGAGGUUGACUUUGGUGUCAAUAAAAUAAAGUAUAUGUCAAGUGUUGUAGUUCAUAUAAUCAACUUCCUCCUUCCCUCAAGAAAUUUGCUAGCCUUGUACCAAAAUUAGAAAGGAUUAUUAAACUAGUGUUUGAAAUAUAAAUUAACAUGAGAGCAGAAAGCUUGUAUCAUAGAAUCAGAGUUGACCUCAGUUAGGUUGGUAUCAAAAAAGUUAAAAAAAAAAGAAUUACCAAACUGCACUGUCAACAAAUAAUAGUGAAGGAUCUAUAAUAUCGCUUGGAAACAGGUGAAGAUUGGCAUCCAGACCUAGGAAAUCUACAAAAUUUACUUUAAAAAAUUCUGCUGAACCCAUGUGAGUAUGGAAGAGUAGACAUUAAAUGAUGAUGUUGCUUUAUAUAUAUUUUAGAAAAUUUAUCAAAAGACCAUGUAAAUAUUUGUUUUAAAAAAUGGUAUAAUAUAACAGUAAUCUUAUUCAUUAACUAGUUCAACUGCCUGGGAUGGUCAUGGUUGCUGGCUGUAAGAAUGGCAGAGUAAAUAGAACAGAAUCUUGAAAUUCCGUUUAGUCAAGGCAGUCAGCUGUGACCUGGGGUCAGAGGGGAGUCAGGUGGGGUUAAUUAUUGCUAUGGGAGGUGGAGUGUGAAGACUAGCAAAAGAAAAAAUGGUGGAAAGGGCAAGGAAGGAAUAAAGUGGGACAGUUGGGACUCUGAUAGGUACUACUAUUCUGGGUCAGAACAGAUCCGAGAGUAAUAAUUGAGGGGUUACUCCAUGCUCUCCUCAACUGGAGCCUCACCACUAGAUGCAGUUUAAUGUCAUACUCAAGACAAUGUAUAUCAUCUUUUUAAUGUCCACUUCUCCAUGCUUGCAUGGGAUGGAUGAAGUUUAUUGAGGCAAAUUUUCCAUGGCUGGAUGCCCUUUUCUGUUGGCAGCUCCCACUGGUUUCUAAGCAAGGUCAUAUUUUCCCAAUGCUAGACAUAUUCUUGUAGAAUAAUGACACUGCUUGUAUGACUGACAAUCAUUUACGAUUGUCACGCAAUGUGAAAACAAGAGACACUCAUAUACUUUCUGUCCCUCUCUCUCUCUCUCUCUCUCUCUAAUACACACACACACACAUGUAUAUUGGGCUUCUUACAGUUUCCAUAUGCCAAAUCUACUCACAAGGUUUUGGUUUGCCUGGGCAUAUGGUGGGAGACUCUUGCUCAAAAUGUCACAUAGUGGGAUUGAACCCAGGACCAUGUGGUUGGGAAGCAAACUUCUUACCACACAGCCAAGAUUUUUGAAUUUCUGUCUGCUUUCACUUUCAUUAAUCAGUUCCUAGCUUGAUUAUGCUUGGCAGCUGGUGAAAAUGAUUUUUGUUAGAUUUUUUCAAGAGUGAGGUGUAUUUUGGUUUACAAUGAACAUAUGUUGUUGCUGAUCUUUCAGUUAGUUUGUUUUUAUUUCAGAAAAUGUUUUUGAUAUUUUGUUUUGCCAAAUACAAAAAUAAACAACAACAACAACACAUAAUUGCAAAUAAAAAUCCCACCCCAUGCACAUUUUUCCUGAAAAUAUAAGUAUUCUUUUAUUCUUUUCUUUUACCUGUUUCAGUCAUUUGACUGAGGCCAUGCUGGAGCAUCACCUUAAAGGGUUUUAGUCAAAGAAAUUGACCCCAGAACAUAUUCUUUGUAAGCCUAGUACUUAAUCUAUUGGUAUCUUUUGGCAAACCACCAAAUUACAGGGAUAUUAAUACACCAACAUCAGUUGUGGAUGGGAACAAACACACACACACACUAUAUAUAUAUAUAUAUAUAUAUAUAUAUAUAUGAUGAGCUUCUUCCAGUUUCUGUCUGCCAGAUCCAUUCACAGGGCUAUGGUAGAAGACACUUGCUCAAGAUGCCAUGCAGUGGGAUUGAACCAGAACUAUGUGGCUGGGAAGCAAGCUUCUUACCAUAUACCCAUGACUGUGCCUAAUAUAAUCAUUAUCAUUUAAUGUCUGUUUACCAUGCUGCCAUGGGUUGUAUGAUUCAAAAGGAGCUGGCAAGCCAGAGAACUAUCUAAGCUCUAAUGUCUGCUUUGGCAUGGCUUCUACAGCUGGAUGGCCUUCCUAAUGCCUACUUACUUGACAGAAUUUACUGAGAGCUUUGUACAUGUUACCGGCGUUGGUGAGGUUACCAAGUAACUGACAACCACAAGACUCCCCUCAACCUUAAGUGGAGGGAAAUAGUAUUGAGGGAAGUGACUUUAUGCCAGGUGAUAUAUAUAUAUAUGUUUAAACAAUCAACGAAAUUCCAACAGGUGCAGGAAUGGCUGUGUAGUAAGAAGCUUCCUUCCCAACCACAUGGUUCCAGGUUCAGUCCUACUGCAUAGCACCUUGGGCAAGUGUCUUCUACUAUAGUCUUUGGCUGAACAGAACCUUGUAAGUGGAUUUGGUGGAUGGAAACUGAAAGAAUACAUCCCAUGUGCCAGUGGCAUGUAAAAAGUAUCCACUACACCCUUGAAGUGGUUGGUGUUAGGAAGGGCAUCCAGCUGUAGAAACCUUGUCAGAUCAGACGUUAGACGAUGAUGAUGUAUGUAUUUAUGUGUCUGUGUUUGUUCCCCCACCAUUGCUUGACAACCAAUGUUGGUGUGUUUAUGUCCCUAUAACUUAGUGGUUCAGUAAAAGAAACUGAUAGAAUAAGUACUAGGCUUACAAAGAAUAAGUCCUGGGGUUGAUUUGUUUGACUAAAAAGGUGGUCUUGCAUUGCUGCAGUCAAAAUGACUGAAACAAGUAAAAGAAUAAAAUAAUAAUCUGAUUUUCAUGUUUUAUUAUUUACAGUUAUUACAGUUUUACAAUAACAGAAUAUAUGUUUGUGAUAAAACUAGUACUUAUAUAUAUAUUGACUUUUCUAUUCUUCCUCAGUGUCAAACUAACACACCUGCUUCUUCCCUCAUGAGUGUUUUGUUUUCUGUACAUCUGGAUUUUUAUAUAUAUAUAUAUAUAUAUAUAUAUAUAUAUAUAUAUAUUUCAACAAUUGAGGGUAAAAUUAAUUUAUUAUUAAUCAAUUUCACCAAGUAUUCAGUAUGCAAAGGGACCAUUUAAGGCGAAUUCAAAUUAUUAUAUGAGAGAGAUUUUCUUUAAGUAUUAGAAAUAGUUUUAAAAAAGUUUUUUUAGCUACUAUUUCUAAUGAGUUCAGUAUGUGGCAAAGUAAUUUAUUUUACUAAGCCCUUUUAUAUAAUGUAAUAAUUUAUAUAUAUAUAUAUAUAUAUAUAUAUAUAUAUAUAUAUAUAUAUAUAUAUAUAUAUAUAGAGAGAGAGAGAGAGAGACAGAGAGAGAGUCCGACAGAGAGAGAGUCCGACAGAGAGAGAGAAAGUCUUCACCAUUCUUCCCAAUCAUUAAACUAAUACACCUGCUUGUUCCCUCACCUGUCUUUUGUUUUCUGUACAUUUUCAAUUUUAUGCAUUUCUGUAGAAUAGAGUCAGAAAUUAUCCUGUACACCAAAACUCACAUUCCCUUCAGAUGUGUAUGUUUUAAGCAUCAUGUAUUAUGAAUAUAAAAAGGUAAUGUUGAGCUUCUCUCCUUCUCUUCUGUAAUUUUUCAGUUUUGACUUUUUUUUUUC
rnacentral:lncRNA from 1 species